CCACUGGUGUGUUUGCUUAAAAAUGUUUUUCUUUUUUUCUGAUUAAAAUAUGUUAAAUGCUUAUUAUAAAGCAUCUGGGAAUAGGAAAACAGAGACUUAAACGUGACCUAUACCAUAGGUAAAGAUAUUUCACAUGGACAUGCAGGAGAAAGGGAUGCUCCCAGGCCUGCCAUAUCAGAAGCCAAUCGGAACUACUCAAUGGAGUGGCAGCUUCUAUGACCAGAUGGCCCAGGCAGCUAAGUCUGGAGUUCAAGAACCCCAGACUCCCCAUCACUUGAUAGAGGCUAGACAAGCCCUGAACCCAGUGGAACCCCCAGCCUCCAGGCUGCAGAGCAAGAGCUAAGGGUGGUUUGGAGAAAGCCACAGGUGCUUAAAAGAAGUCAAAGAGGCAAGUUCAAUAGAGGGAGCAAUGCACAGGGCCCAAGGAGGAGUC
ensembl:lncRNA